GAUGAACGCUAGCGAUAGGCUUAACACAUGCAAGUCGAGGGGCAGCACAAGGUAGCUUGCUAUCUGGGUGGCGACCGGCGCACGGGUGCGUAGCGCGUAUGCAACUUGCCCUAUACAGGAGGAUAACCCGUCGAAAGACGGACUAAUACUGCGUAUGCUCACAACUUGGCAUCAAGUGGUGAGGAAAGAAAUUCGGUAUAGGAUAGGCAUGCGUCCCAUUAGCUUGUUGGUGAGGUAACGGCUCACCAAGGCAACGAUGGGUAGGGGAACUGAGAGGUUUAUCCCCCACACUGGUACUGAGACACGGACCAGACUCCUACGGGAGGCAGCAGUGAGGAAUAUUGGUCAAUGGGCGCGAGCCUGAACCAGCCAAGUCGCGUGAAGGAUGACUGUCUUAUGGAUUGUAAACUUCUUUUAUACGGGAAUAACAAGAGUCACGUGUGACUCCCUGCAUGUACCGUAUGAAUAAGCAUCGGCUAACUCCGUG
rnacentral:rRNA from 1 species